rnacentral:rRNA from 1 species
AACGAACGCUGGCGGCAGGCCUAACACAUGCAAGUCGAGCGAAGCCUUCGGGCUUAGCGGCGGACGGGUGAGUAACGCGUGGGAACGUGCCCUUUGGUACGGAAUAGCCCCGGGAAACUGGGAGUAAUACCGUAUGUGCCCUUCGGGGGAAAGAUUUAUCGCCAAAGGAUCGGCCCGCGUUGGAUUAGGUAGUUGGUGGGGUAAUGGCCUACCAAGCCGACGAUCCAUAGCUGGUUUGAGAGGAUGAUCAGCCACACUGGGACUGAGACCCGGCCCAGACUCCUACGGGAGGCAGCAGUGGGGAAUCUUAGACAAUGGGGGAAACCCUGAUCUAGCCAUGCCGCGUGAUCGAUGAAGGCCUUAGGGUUGUAAAGAUCUUUCAGUGGGGAAGAUAAUGACUGUACCCACAGAAGAAGCCCCGGCUAACUCCGUGCCAGCCGCCGCUGUAAUAC